rnacentral:rRNA from 1 species
GACGAACGCUGGCGGCGUGCUUAACACAUGCAAGUCGAGCGGAGCGGCGAACGGGUGAGUAACGCGUUAGUAACUGCCCCCCUCUCUGGGAUAACAGUUGGAAACGGCUGCUAAUACCGGAUCGUGUGGGUUGACUCGCGUCCUAUUAGCUGGUUGGUGGGGUAGUGGCCUACCAACGCGACGCCGGGUAGCCGGCCGUAGCGGAUGACCGGCCACAUUGGAAUGAGGUACGGCCCAGACUGGUGCGGGAGGCAGAAGUGGAGGAUAUUGCGCAACGGGGGAAAGUGUGAUGCAGCGACGCGCGUGGGGGAUGAAGGCUUUCGGGAUGUAAACGUGUAUCGAACAAGGAUGGGUAGGUGGAGAAGAAGCGGCGGCUAACUACGUGCCAGCAGCCGCGGUAAUUC